UUCUAAAGUUCUCUUCCCGAUCUAGGAGAUGCACAUGACGUCCACCUUCGAGAGACGCUCCCCUAAGGGGCGGUGAGCUCUUCAUCGGCAGGGGUACCCUCAUCGCACAGUCAGCUAGGAAUGCACUAGUGCGGGACUACAGACGCUUGAGAAAGCAUUGAAGAAAAAGGGCAGCAGGCUGGUGGCGGCCGUAGCGACGGUGAAAUCUCCGGAGAAUGAGGUGGUGGACAACCUACUCCACAUGAAUGCAGAGUGGGGUUGUACGAGAUGUGCAAAUAACUAACAAAGGAUAUCAAAAUUGAUGUGAAUAUUAAAAGCUAAUCCCAGGGACGGGAUUCAAGGAGGGGCUCCCCCCCCCUUUUGUAAAGUUCUCUUCCCGAGCUAGGAGAUGGACAUGACGUCGACCUCCGGGAGACGCUCCCCCAAGGGGCGGUGAGCUCUUCAUCGGCGGGGAUACCCUCAUCGCGCAGUCAGCUAGGCACGCACUAGCGCUGGAGAUCAUUGGAAAAUUAGAGAUGAGCAAUGUGUUGGGACUACAGAGGAUUUGCUUUCACUUAUUUCUCUACAUAUUUUAUAAAGUGCCUUGUAGCAACUAACCAAAGAUCCGUUAACAUUUGCGUGUAGAGCUUGAGAAAACAUUGAAGAAAAAGGGCAGCAGCCUGGUGGUGGCCAUGGUGGCAGUGAAGUCUCCGGAGAAGUAGGCGGCGGACAACCUCCUCCACAUGAUGAAGAGUGGGGGCUGUACGAGAUGUGCAAAUACCUAACAAAGAAUAUCAAAAUUGAUGUGAAUAUUAAAGGCUAAUCCCAGGUUAUGGGGCGAAACCAGAGGAGAAGCAAUAUAUUAUGUUGUUAAGUAAGCUUACAAAAAGUUUAGGAAAAAGUGAGCCAACGAGUUGUUUAGGAGGCAAAAAUAGAAUUUGUUUGUCUUCUUUUGUUACUCGACACUUAAUCAUGUGUAUAUGUGACUAAGAAUUUUUCAUGUUUUCCAUCUUUCCUUCAGAUUCGCGCCAAAUAGCAGAAAUUCUGUUUAACGCUACUUGUGAGAGAGUGACCGCUCUACAUCUUACUUCUGAAAAUGCAAGACUCCAAAUUGCAGAACUUCUAUUGGCAAAGCGAGCUGAGGCCGACACCACUUUUCAGAGAGAGAUUGCUUUAGUUUUUGCUUCUGAAAAUGCAACUGUAAGAGU